UACGAAGGGGGCUAGCGUUGCUCGGAAUCACUGGGCGUAAAGCGCACGUAGGCGGAUUGUUAAGUCAGGGGUGAAAUCCCGGAGCUCAACUCCGGAACUGCCUUUGAUACUGGCGAUCUUGAGUCCGGGAGAGGUGAGUGGAACUGCGAGUGUAGAGGUGAAAUUCGUAGAUAUUCGCAAGAACACCAGUGGCGAAGGCGGCUCACUGGCCCGGUACUGACGCUGAGGUGCGAAAGCGGGGGGAGCAAACAGG
rnacentral:rRNA from 1 species